UCUAAGGAUGAGUGAAAGUAAAAUUUCACUCUAAAUAAUAUACAUCGGUAAUGUUGACCGUCCUCAUUUCUCUUCUUAAAGUAAUGUUUCCUUCUUGUAGGGCCGGUAGCUCAGUUGGUUAGAGCACACCCUUGAUAAGGGUGGGGUCGAAAGUUCGAGUCUUUCUCGGCCCACCAAAAACCUAAAUGGGGGAUUAGCUCAUCUGGGAGAGCGCCUGAUUUGCAUUCAGGAGGUAGCAGGUUCGAUCCCUGUAUCCUCCACCAGGACACAUUUAGUUAUUAAAACUGUAAAUAGAAAUAAUUUAUAUCAAUAUCUAUAUCCGAACAUUAAAAGUUAUUAUUUAAUGUUCAAAAUAAAAAUUUGAUCACAACAUAGAUUAAUUUUCUUUACACAGAAUUUUUUUCUGUGCAUAAAU
rnacentral:tRNA from 1 species